GGCCUUUUUAGUCCUUCUGGCCAUGUAAUAUCUUUUCACAUGCACCGUAUUUCAUCAAACAGGAGACGGUGCGAUCAAACUUUUUCCAUCAUGCACAUCCCAUUGUAGGUACAAUGGCUUAGGUUAAACUUUAUUUGGAUGUGCUAUAACUACCUUUUAAAUAGUUAAUUAGGGGGUGUUUGGCAGCACUCCACUUCAAUUUUUUUCUCCACUCCACCAACUCCACUCAACUUCAAC
rnacentral:lncRNA from 1 species